GGCUCUCCUAAAGAAACAAAAAGACUACAGGCACGAUGUUACAGUAGAUGGAGGUGGCUGCCAAAUAUCAUCUUCUUACAGAGAGUGAUUAUGAAUUUCACGAGGCUAUGGUGGUCCCAUUGCACAAAGACUGGAAACACAGGGAAUUCAGUGUUUUACUGGGGGUUACAGGCUGGACUGUUUCUUGGCAACCAGAGGCUCCAGGAAAACCAAGAUGGCAUUUUGGAGUGUACACAAUAUACACAGGCCCCUGACCUACAGUAGCUGACGCUGAUGAUACAGUUGAAGA